UUGGCACAUCAGCUGAUUGAUU
rnacentral:misc_RNA from 1 species